CCUACGGGAGGCAGCAGUAGGGAAUCUUUCACAAUGGGCGAAAGCCUGAUGGAGCAACGCCGCGUGCAGGAUGAAGGCCUUCGGGUUGUAAACUGCUUUUAUAAGCGAGAAAUAUGAUGGUAACUUAUGAAUAAGGAUCGGCUAACUACGUGCCAGCAGCCACGGUCAUACGUAGGAUCCGAGCAUUAACCGGAGUGACUGGGUGUAAAGAGUUGCGUAGGUGGCAUAAUAAGUAGCUAGUGAAAUCUGGUGGCUCAACCAUUCAGACUAUUAGCUAAAAUGUUAAGCUCGAGACCGUUAGGGGUAACUGGAAUUUCUAGUGUAGGAGUGAAAUCCGUAGAUAUUAGAAGGAACACCAAUAGCGUAGGCAGGUUGCUGGGACGGUUCUGACACUAAGGCACGAAAGCGUAGGGAGCAAACGGGAUUAGAUACCCCGGUAGUC
rnacentral:rRNA from 1 species